rnacentral:rRNA from 1 species
UACGUAGGGUCCGAGCGUUGUCCGGAAUUAUUGGGCGUAAAGAGCUCGUAGGCGGUCUGUUGCGUCGGUUGUGAAAACCUGGGGCUCAACUCCAGGCCUGCAAUCGAUACGGGCAGACUAGAGUUCGGUAGGGGAGACUGGAAUUCCUGGUGUAGCGGUGAAAUGCGCAGAUAUCAGGAGGAACACCGGUGGCGAAGGCGGGUCUCUGGGCUGAAACUGACGCUGAGGAGCGAAAGCGUGGGGAGCGAACAGG